rnacentral:rRNA from 1 species
UACGUAGGGGGCAAGCGUUGUCCGGAAUCAUUGGGCGUAAAGCGCGUGUAGGCGGUCCGGUAAGUCCGCUGUGAAAGUCGGGGGCUCAACCCUCGGAUGCCGGUGGAUACUGUCGGGCUUGAGUACGGAAGAGGCGAGUGGAAUUCCUGGUGUAGCGGUGAAAUGCGCAGAUAUCAGGAGGAACACCAAUUGCGAAGGCAGCGCGCUGGGACGUUACUGGCGCUGAGACGCGAAAGCGUGGGGAGCAAACAGG